GUAGGGGAUAUUGCGCAAUGGGGGCAACCCUGACGCAGCAACGCCGCGUGAAGGAUGAAGGUUUUCGGAUUGUAAACUUCUUUUAUUAAGGACGAAAAUUGACGGUACUUAAUGAAUAAGCUCCGGCUAACUACGUGCCAGCAGCCGCGGUAAUACGUAGGGAGCAAGCGUUGUCCGGAUUUACUGGGUGUAAAGGGUGCGUAGGCGGCUUUGCAAGUCAGAUGUGAAAUCUAUGGGCUCAACCCAUAAACUGCAUUUGAAACUGUAGAGCUUGAGUGAAGUAGAGGCAGGCGGAAUUCCCCGUGUAGCGGUGAAAUGCGUAGAGAUGGGGAGGAACACCAGUGGCGAAGGCGGCCUGCUGGGCUUUAACUGACGCUGAGGCACGAAAGCGUGGGUAGCAAACAGGAUUAGAUACCCUGGUAGUCCACGCUGUAAACGAUGAUUACUGGGUAGUGGGGGGUCUGACCCCUUCCGUGCCGGAGUUAACACAAUAAGUAAUCCACCUGGGGAGUACGGCCGCAAGGUUGA
rnacentral:rRNA from 1 species